GUCAUCUUAUUUUUCAUUCAUCACCAUCUAAAAUAGAAAUGAAAAACCAUGGAAGAAGCUUGCUAGGGCUCGGCACAUAUUUGGCUUAAUUAAGUGAUUUGAAAGCUCGCUCGGGUUGGAAGUCAUCGAAGAUUUCAUCACACUAUCCAGGAGUUGAUUUGGUAUUUUUGAACUCUUUGAAAUUGGUAAUAUGACAUGUAUAGGCUAGUUGAUGUUUUGAGAUGUAUGAGUUAUGUAAGCUAUUGAAGCUUAUAUGCAUUGAUGUGUUUAAGACAUGUGAUUUGGCUUAACUUGGUUAAAUAUUGGGUUAUGUUUAUGUGUACUAGAUAUGGCAUGUUUUGGUAAGUAGUUGAUGGAAUGAGGAUAUGUAAAUGGUAUGGAUAUGUGAAGGAAAUAUGAAUCGAAAUUGUUGGAAUAAUAGUUAGUACUUGGAUGUUUAAGGUUGAAUUAUUGAAUAGGUUAUAUGUGUAUUUUGGCUAAUGAAUCAUAUUGGUUUGGCAUAUGUUUGAAUGCACAAA